rnacentral:rRNA from 1 species
CAGCCGCCGCGGGAAUACGUAGGGUGCGAGCGUUAAUCGGAAUUGCUGGGCGUAAAGCGUGCGCAGGCGGUUUUGUAAGACAGGCGUGAAAUCCCCGGGCUCAACCUGGGAAUGGCGCUUGUGACUGCAAAGCUAGAGUGCGGCAGAGGGGGAUGGAAUUCCGCGUGUAGCAGUGAAAUGCGUAGAUAUGCGGAGGAACACCGAUGGCGAAGGCAAUCCCCUGGACCUGUACUGACGCUCAUGCACGAAAGCGUGGGGAGCAAACAGGAUUAGAUACCCCCGUAGUCCCUGUCUCUUAUAU